ACAGACCUGGACUGGUAAGGUGCUGUGUACAUCAGUUGGGGUCUCUCUGUUGUCAUUCACUUGGAGUUCUCAACAAAUGAAUGGAGAAAUGGCUUUCAGGAGAAAAUGAAAACCAUUCUUAUUCACCCAGGCAUUUGAUGGCUGAAAGAUACAGGCCACGGCAACCUUGAAAUUAUCAUUUGUGGAGAUGGGAAGCUGAAGCAGAGAUAUGUUGAAGGCCACACACAAGCAAGCCGUUACACUGGUACUACUUAAAUCCAGAUUUGAGUUUAGCUUUUCAUCUGCAGUGAUGCAUCCUUGGCUCCAUUAUAACUGAGCUCAAUCUAUAGUCUGCCUACAGAGAGCCUCAGGAAUCAUGUUCUAUCAGCUACUUUGUGUGCCAUGGUUAAAAUAUGCAUCGGAACCUUCUGAUGAAGUACUUCCCACAUGGUUUUAACAUGAGGUGACUGAAAAAGAUGUCACAAGGUCAGAAGAAAAACAUUGUCUGGACCUGUGUGAAACCCAGAUUCCUGUA